rnacentral:rRNA from 1 species
UACAGAGGUCCCGAGCGUUGUUCGGAUUCACUGGGCGUAAAGGGUGCGUAGGUGGUUGGGUAAGUUUGAUGUGAAAGCUCAGGGCUUAACCCUGAAAUGGCAUUGAAUACUACUCAACUGGAGGUUGGAGGGGGGACUGGAAUUCUUGGUGUAGCAGUGAAAUGCGUAGAUAUCAAGAGGAACACCAGUGGCGAAGGCGAGUCCCUGGACAACACCUGACACUGAGGCACGAAAGCUAGGGGAGCAAACAGG